CGAGAAAGUGAGCAGUGACAAUCUAGACUGAUUAUUAGAGGUACUUCUCCCACUUUUCAGAAACCAAGGAGCCUUUGAUUAGUAGUGAAAUUGUGGCACCCCAACUACAGUGGAGUGGAAUGUCCUGCUAUUCUGGAGGGGUGAUGGCUCAGGGUCAAGACUGGACUAAUUAGAAAAAAAAAUGCACUCCAGGAAUAUCAAGUCCGAAACAAAGCUCAUUUCUCAUGUGCGCUCCAGGAGUAUCAAGUCCAAAACAAAGCUCUUCAAACCACCUAGGAAGAGAAAACAGCAUGACAAGGAAAGGACCCUGAUGUCUGAGGAAGAAGGUUCACAUCCAACUCUGCCCCUGGUGUGUCACGUGCCGGCCUUGUCAACGCACACGAGAACCUGACAGGGUCCCAUGGAAUUCAGACAAGGAAGUAAAGCAAAUGAGAAUGGCCCACAGGGGAGCAGUUCAAAUGCGCAGAAAAAGAUAGAGCAGCCCCAAUGAGGAAGGAAGGCUGGACAAGAAAUGGAUUUGUAGGGAAGACAAUGUGCACCCAUCGGAGCUCUGAUUGCUUUACUUUCACUACCCUCCCCUGCCCACUAACAUCGAAAAAGUA